rnacentral:rRNA from 1 species
UACGUAGGGUGCAAGCGUUGUCCGGAAUUACUGGGCGUAAAGCGCACGUAGGCGGAUAUUUAAGUCAGGGGUGAAAUCCCGGGGCUCAACCCCGGAACUGCCUUUGAUACUGGAUAUCUUGAGUUCGGAAGAGGUAAGUGGAAUUGCGAGUGUAGAGGUGAAAUUCGUAGAUAUUCGCAGGAACACCAGUGGCGAAGGCGGCUUACUGGUCCGAUACUGACGCUGAGGUGCGAAAGCGUGGGGAGCAAACAGG